UCUUUAAGAAUAGAGCUUAAAGUAUCACCUGCUCAAUGAUUUAAUUAAUUAAAUAGCUGCAGGAGACUGUACUAAGGUAGCAUAAUUAUUUGGCCUUUAAUUAAGGUCUAGUAUGAAGGGUGGCAUGAGGAAAGAUCUUUCUUAGCCUUAACCUAUAAACUUAGAUUUUAGGUUAAAAUACCUAAAUAACCUUUAGGGACGAGAAGACCCUAUGAAGCUUUUUAAGAAGAAGAUAAGUAGCUAUCCUUUUCUUAUUUUAGUUGGGGCAACAAGAUAAGAAAAGAAGCUUAUUUUUUGAUCCAAGAUUCUUGAUCAUGAGAACAAGUUACUCUAGGGAUAACAGCAUAAUAAAAUAAAUUAAGCCCAAAUUAAUUUGUCUGAUUAUGACCUCGAUGUUGGAUUAAUGUUUCAGUUAGGGGUAGCUCCUUAACCUGAGGGUCUGUUCGACCUUUAAACCAUUACA
rnacentral:rRNA from 1 species